UAUUCUGCCCUACAGGGAAGGAUGAGAAGCUUCGACUAAGGUUCGACUCGAGCGAAGCGAGAGAACGUUGCCGCAGGCAACGGCCCGAAGGGCGAGGCGCUUUAGCGCCGAGUAAUCCUUCCCCCACCACUA
rnacentral:sRNA from 1 species